rnacentral:rRNA from 1 species
AACGUAGGAGACAAACGUUAUCCGGAGUUACUGGGCGUAAAGGGCGUGUAGGCGGUUUGUUAAGUCUGGCGUGAAAGCUCUCGGCUAAACCGGGAGAGGUCGUUGGAUACUGGCAAACUAGAGGACGGUAGAGGCGUGUGGAAUUCCGGGUGUAGUGGUGAAAUGCGUAGAGAUCCGGAGGAACACCGGUGGCGAAGGCGCCACUCUGGGCCGAAACUGACGCUGAGGAGCGAAAGCGUGGGUAGCAAACAGG